GGAGAGGCGAGGGCAGGCGGUGGUGGCGAUGCCGAUUGCGUCCAUCGACGUGCGCUUGGUGGGGAUUGCCUCCUCCAUUUGCACAAACUUUCAAAGCAUUUUGACCCACCUUCCUUCAAUCAAGCGAUCCCUUCCCUGCCGAUCACUUCCUGGCCAGUACCAUGGCAUUGGGUCGAGCUCAGCUUCCUCCAUGCCAACCUACAACAGCAGCAGCAGGCGCCGGGUCUUAAGACCUGAAAAGGAGGCGGCGCGGAUCUGCAGUCAGUAGUAUCUUGUGCGACACCACUGCUUGUGGCCGGCGGGGCAACGACAAACACCAAGCCGAAGUGGUCCGCUCUCGAAGAAAGGUAGGCUGUAGUGCGACAUCUGCUCUGCCACGUUUCUGCUGUGGUGGUGCCGUGGUGGUGUGACUAAUCAUCAGAGAUAAGUAGCAAACCGUCAACCACCAGGGAGACGAGCCAGGCAAGUUUAUUUUCAUCUCGCUAUCUCCCUGAUAUUGGUGUCUAGAUUGAAGAUUAUGCAUCAGCGACAAGUAACGACCGCCCGGAAAGAGAGCCGGAAAAAAGGCAGGAAAUCGCCACCGCUCGCCCCUAUUUGAGCAGCCGCUUGUUCCUUCCGCGUCCUCGCUGCUCCUCAAUUCAAUUGGCUCCGUGCCGACCUCCAGGUUGAGAAGGAAAGCAUCGCGAGUUCGCCAUACGGAUGGGUUCUAAAGCGCCUUUCUGUCUCACGCUCCUCUUGCUGCUCGCCGCAGCCUGUGGACCUGCUGCACAUGCCACAAUGCUGGCAUGCAACAUCGAGGUUACUUUGUUUGUUGGAUGAAUUCAGUACGGUAAGGGCAUUCUAACUGAAGAUGGCAUUGGUCUGCUUGGAGGUACUUCCAGUCAUUUUGCAAACUAUGAUCCCCCCAUAUGGUUAGAUAGUUAUUUUUGGCAAAUGUUAUUUUAGAAAUUCAAUUUGAUAGGUUUGCCAGUCUGGUCUUGUGGGCUUCCUUCAAUCACUUUGAAUUUGUGAACUUCAUUGCAUGAUUUGCUUAGCUCAAAGUUUUUGCAGUCUAAUUAUUCUUAUAUUUUCCUCCUGAUUCUUUUUAGUUCAUUUAGUAAAUUGAUGUUGUUUUUUGCUUAAGUGGAGAAUUGAGCCGUGAUGUAAAAAAUAGCUUAGGCUAGAAAGGCACAUUUUAGAAAUUGAUAGUACUGUCGGACUGUAAUGUGUAUGAAUAGGAAAAAGUUAUCACGUUACUUUAUCAAAUCUUAUCAUUUUUCUCCUAUUCCUUCAUGUCUAUGACGUUUGCCAAAUUAUGAAUGGGGAUUCUGGUUGAAUUCGAAACAAUAAACUAAGUCUUAGGACGUCCGUUUUUUUCCUUCUGUUUUGUAUGGUGGACUGGUAGAUGGUCAAAUUCUGCCAAAUUUUCAACCUCAAAGCCUUUGAAACGGACAUUCUUUCCUCUGAGUGCAACAGUCUAGAUCAAAGAUUGAUAAUUAGAACAACUUUUAUCCUGUACCAUCUCGUCCACACCCUCAUGCUGCUUGGGGCACCCAUCACCAAGAGCCCCAAUGUUGUGCAGCGUAAACUCUGUGCCCAGAGGCAACACACACCAUACCCAAGCGACGAUGGCGGUUAUGACUGUAUGACGAGGCUCACCCGCCACCGUUCCUUGGACCGGCUUGGGGAGCGAUCUGGAAGGAUUGUUUAUGCAAAACUGAUUUGCUGUGCAGGGCUCCUAAUUCUACAUGUUGAUGACAUGUCUUUUGCACAAUAUUAAUUUUCGUGAUGGUAUAUCAUUUGACAGAAGUUGAGGCUACUGAAAGAUUCUCUGUUUUCUAAAGCUUAGACAACCAUAAAGAACUACGGGUUUAUGCAAUAUGUACUAAGUGAAGGUAUAUAUUAACCAGGUUUCUAUUUCAUGAACAGAACUAAUUAUUGGGCUUCCUAGAGUUGAUUCUGUAGAUAAACCCCCCAUAUCUGUAUUGUUAACUUUUUAAAAUUUGUAUCGUGGUAGAUUGAUAGUGACCCUAAAGCUUGCGGUCUCAUCCUUCAAAUUGUGGUCAUAAGGACAUCAUCGAUUUUUUAAACUUAUCAAGAACAUAUGAAUUCAAAAUGGGGCAGUUCUCAGUGUGCAGAAGGCGAGCUCGUCCUCUUCCUUAAUGAGGUUCUUAAGAGUGUUUCCUCAGCUGUAUUGGUUACCCUUACUACUUUGGAUUUUGGAAACAGUCCGAGACCCUUAUUAGUUAACAAUAUCAUAGUUGUUGCAAAGAUACUCUACUUUUUUUCAUCAUCUCUUCUUUACCAUUCAUAUCUCCCAGUUGUUGCAAGGGAAAAUUAACCCCAGUAAUUCUUUCUUGAGGGGUAGAACAGGAGUGUCGUUCUCAGAUUCAAUGAUUAUCAAACAACAUGUACUAAUUAUAUUUUAGCAAGCUGGCAGUUGAUGUGAUUCUCUAUGUUUACAUUUUGUCAAAUUAACGACAAGAGGGUUAAGUUUUAGAAGCAACUACCCUGCACUGGUUAAUAAUAUCUGUGAGGACCCAAGUUGGUCCCAGUCCUCUUCGAUUGGUGCUCUGUCCCUGUGAUUUGAGGAAAGUUUCAGUACAACACAUUGUAUUUUGAUUAGUGAAUGAAGCAUUUAGACGAUAUUGUUGCAGGUGUGCAUUCUCUUUCUUACAUUUGAUUUAAGCUUUCUUAUUUGAGCUUUAUGAUACUAUGUACUCAAUACUUGUGCUCUUCUAAGAUAGGUUGAGCAGAUAGUGGUUGAAAGGUCUGAAGGUUGACAUUGUGGGGACGAACCAGAAGGGCGAGUUCUGGGUGGCGAUCCACUGUCGGAGAAGUAUGUAUCCUCGGCUAAUGAGCUGCCAUGUCAAGCUGAGGAAGUUUUUGCUCAGCUUCCCAAUCCCUGCCAAGUACCACUACCUGAUGCAUAUCGAUAGCAAGCUCUACGCGUUGAUCAUCAGGGACAGCCCGAUGGCCAGAUGCUUCACAUCAUGGAGGACGGCAAGGGAGAGGUGGUGAGAGUUAUCAUCGAAGUGGAGGGUCCGUCUGAUGCCAUUCAUCGUUGUCUUUGACCUCGUGAAGGCGUCUUAGCCACUUCAAUUUGAUUGGAAAUAUUGUUGUUUUAAGAUACGGGUCCAUGGUUAAUGUUGUACGCUUCUCUGCUUCUCUGAGAAGACCUGUCAUUUUAAUAAUUUGGUUCUGGAGCAACCUGGAGCUGUAUAUUGAUCUAGCUUCUUUUAGUAACAAAUGUAAGUUGCUCACAUUUU